rnacentral:rRNA from 1 species
UACCAGCCCCCUGAGUGGUAGGGACGAUUAUUUGGCUUAAAGCGUCCGUAGCCGGCUUAGUGAGUCUCCUGUUAAAUCCAAUGAUUCAAUCAUUGAACUGCAAGAGAUACUACUAUGCUAGAGGACGGGAGAGGUCGACGGUAGUCCAAGGGUAGGGGUGAAAUCCUAUAAUCCUUGGAGGACCACCAGUGGCGAAGGCGGUCGACUAGAACGUGCCUGACGGUGAGGGACGAAAGCUGGGGGAGCGAACCGGAUUAGAUACCCGGGUAGUCCCAGCUGUAAACGAUGCGGGCUAGGUGUAGGGGCAGCUACGAGCUGCUCCUGUGCCGCAGAGAAAUUGUUAAGCCCGCCGCCUGGGGAGUACGAUCGCAAGAUUGAAACUUAAAGGAAUUGGCGGGGGAGCACCACAAGGGGUGAAGGCUGCGGUUU